ACGGGUGAGUAAUGUCUGGGGAUCUGCCCGAUAGAGGGGGAUAACCACUGGAAACGGUGGCUAAUACCGCAUAACGUCGCAAGACCAAAGAGGGGGACCUUCGGGCCUCUCACUAUCGGAUGAACCCAGAUGGGAUUAGCUAGUAGGCGGGGUAAUGGCCCACCUAGGCGACGAUCCCUAGCUGGUCUGAGAGGAUGACCAGCCACACUGGAACUGAGACACGGUCCAGACUCCUACGGGAGGCAGCAGUGGGGAAUAUUGCACAAUGGGCGCAAGCCUGAUGCAGCCAUGCCGCGUGUAUGAAGAAGGCCUUCGGGUUGUAAAGUACUUUCAGCGGGGAGGAAGGCGAUGCGGUUAAUAACCGCGUCGAUUGACGUUACCCGCAGAAGAAGCACCGGCUAACUCCGUGCCAGCAGCCGCGGUAAUACGGAGGGUGCAAGCGUUAAUCGGAAUUACUGGGCGUAAAGCGCACGCAGGCGGUCUGUUAAGUCAGAUGUGAAAUCCCCGGGCUUAACCUGGGAACUGCAUUUGAAACUGGCAGGCUUGAGUCUUGUAGAGGGGGGUAGAAUUCCAGGUGUAGC
rnacentral:rRNA from 2 species